ACAAACGCAUGGGGAAGAAAAACGUUGGGUGGAAAUAUCAAUCCAUCCGGCGACUCCUUCAACAUCUCCUCCCCCCCGUUUCUUUGGACGCGCAAACCGAGGUUCGUUGGACGCGGCCAAAGCCAGGGCCCAACUUGGCGUCACGACGAGGCGGAGAGAGAGCGAGCGGCGAAGAAAGAAAAAGAGAGAACCAGCGGUUUGCAAAGCCGAGUGCUUUCUCGCUUUUCGUCGAACGGGAAGGAGGGAAAAAGGGGGGAAAAGCAAGAAAAAGGGUUUGGAAGGGAAAAAGAAUUGGAAAACCCUAAUCAAAGGCGAGCGUCACGUCCCUUUCUAGCGAUCUAUUCAAUUUCUGGUAUUAGAUUUCCAGAUUGCUUGUCUCAAUGGUAUGCAUGACUGGGUGUGGGAGAAUGGCUGCCAUGGUGAGGCUUCUCACUGUUGGAAGUUGUCCAGAAAUUACACCAGAAGAAGACAGCUAUGAGAAGAUUGCUGCUCAGAGCAUACAUAAGGAGUUUCAUGAUGCAGAUGAGGCGAAUUUACUUGAAGAAGAAGAUAUGCAUGUCUUUGAUUGUAGACCGCUGACAGAUCCCUUGCACCUGGUUUGUUGCAAUGCUUGCAAGAAGCCAGUCAAAGCCAGUCAAUAUGCAGCUCAUGCAGAGCGCUGUAGGUCAUUAAACUCUGUGAAAGACAUUGUUCUGGAGCUUGAUGGUAGUGCUGGUCAUAAGAAGCCUCCAAGGAAGGGGAGAAAAAUAUUACAAGCAACUAAUUGUAAUCAACGAAAAACUGUAGAAGAGCAAGAAAAAUCUGAGUCAAUGGAUGGGAAUGUUGUUGGUGUUUCAGAGUCAAAUUUCGAUAACCAGAGUGGCAUGCUAUCUUCCCAGUCUGGAGAGUCUCAAAGGACACCAGCAUCGGUUGAUCAUACCACAGUACUUGAUGCUUCUGAAAUUGGCACUGGAGGCAGGGAAUAUUACAAGAUAUCAAAUGCAGAAAGAGAAGUACCUUGUAAUACUCUGAACAGAUAUCAGAAGGCUGGACAAAUCCUUGAAAAUGGUGUAAUUCAUAAGGAGUAUCUUCGGAGUAAUGCUCCAGUUCCACUUGCUACCAAAAUAUACCACUUGCAAGGAAACAAUCAUCUCCGCUUAGAACUUGGCCAUCUAUACCGUGAGGCAUGUGCAGAACAGCAUGGCGCUGAUUCCCUAAGUCCAGAAUCAAUGCAGGACAAGGGUAUGAUGUCUAUCGAAGUCUCAUCUUCUAGUAAAUUAUUUCGCGAGGUUCACAGGGAUGAUGUUCCUCAAACGAAGAAAUUACAUUUCCACUUUCUCACUUCGGAAACAGAGAGAUAUGUACUCCUCAGCUGCUGUUUGGAACCCUGAUCAGGUUCUAGCACAAAGUUCAGAACUAUUCUUGGGAAACUCAGGAGCAUUACCAUCAGCUGCAAGUUUUCCAAAUCAUUUCAGAGGGAACAGAUUUUCGAAACCUGAAGUAGCUGCGGCUUCAGUGGGGGUCAUGAAAGACAGAUUUCAUUCUGCACCAUAUUCAUAUACUGCAAAAUCAGGUUUGCCCCUGGGAACAAUGCAGAAGACGAAUGGGCGUGUUUCUGUGGUUUAACCGUCCAGGACUGAUUCUCACAAGGGAAGCGUGAUUUUGUUGUACAUCCUCCAUCAUAAUAGUUGGAUUAAUGGUGGAACACAUUAAAGUUGUUCUCUUUUCUUUGUUCUUUUUUGGCUAUUGCAUUAUGAUAGAUUAAUUUAUUUCAUUGACGAUCUCUAGGAUGCAUUGGCUCAUGCUUGUUGAAUUGCCUGUAUUCUAUUUAAUCAAAUGUGGCCUCUCUCAGUGGAAAUGCUGCAGCCCUCACAUAGCUCAAAAUGGUGAUCCAUUAGCAGCUAUCAAGACUGGGCCAUCAAGGUGUGAGAAAUGGCUCACAAAUCGGUGCUCCCUGCCUGGUGGAACUGAUUCUUGCCCCUAUGGGAUAUUUUUGGUUCUUAAAUUAUACAAUUGUGCAGAGAAAGGUGGAAUGGUGAUUAAAUCUGAUAUGAUUCAUAGGAGAUUGACCUAUAGAUAGUUUUGUUGUGCA